GACGAACGCUGGCGGCGUGCUUAACACAUGCAAGUCGAACGAAGAGCGAUGGAAGCUUGCUUCUAUCAAUCUUAGUGGCGAACGGGUGAGUAACGCGUAAUCAACCUGCCCUUCAGAGGGGGACAACAGUUGGAAACGACUGCUAAUACCGCAUACGAUCUAACCUCGGCAUCGAGGAUAGAUGAAAGGUGGCCUCUACAUGUAAGCUAUCACUGAAGGAGGGGAUUGCGUCUGAUUAGCUAGUUGGAGGGGUAACGGCCCACCAAGGCGAUGAUCAGUAGCCGGGCCGGGGGGAAUGACGGGCCCAUUGGGAAUGGGAAACGGCCCAGACCCCUACCGGGGGCAGCAGGGGGGAAUCUUCCGCAAUGGACGAAAGUCUGACGGAGCAACGCCGCGGGAGUGAUGACGGCCUUCGGGUUGUAAAGCUCUGUUAAUCGGGACGAAAGGCCUUCUUGCGAAUAGUGAGAAGGAUUGACGGUACCGGAAUAGAAAGCCACGGCUAACUACGUG
rnacentral:rRNA from 1 species